rnacentral:rRNA from 1 species
AUUGAACGCUGGCGGCAUGCCUUACACAUGCAAGUCGAACGGCAGCACGGGUGCUUGCACCUGGUGGCGAGUGGCGAACGGGUGAGUAAUACAUCGGAACGUACCUUAUCGUGGGGGAUAACGCAGCGAAAGCUGUGCUAAUACCGCAUACGCCCUGAGGGGGAAAGCGGGGGAUCGCAAGACCUCGCGCGAUUAGAGCGGCCGAUGCCUGAUUAGCUUGUUGGUGGGGUAAAAGCCCACCAAGGCGACGAUCAGUAGCUGGUCUGAGAGGACGAUCAGCCACACUGGGACUGAGAAACGGCCCAGACUCCGACGGGAGGCAGCAGUGGGGAAUUUUGGACAAUGGGGGCAACCAUGAUCCAGCAAUGCCGCGUGAGUGAAGAAGGCCUUCGGGUUGUAAAGCUCUUUUGUCAGGGAAGAAACACCGGCUCUAACACAGUCCGGGAAUGACGGUACCUGAAGAAUAAGCACCGGCUAACUACGUGCCAGCAGCCGCCGUAA